rnacentral:tRNA from 1 species
GGGGAUUUAGCUCAGUGGUAGAGCGCUUGCCUAGGAGGAAGCGCAAGGCCCUGGGUUCGGUCCCCAGCUCCA